rnacentral:rRNA from 1 species
GAUGAACGCCGGCGGCGUGCCUAAUACAUGCAAGUCGAGCGAACGGACGAGAAGCUUGCUUCUCUGAUGUUAGCGGCGGACGGGUGAGUAACACGUGGAUAACCUACCUAUAAGACUGGGAUAACUUCGGGAAACCGGAGCUAAUACCGGAUAAUAUUUUGAACCGCGUGGUUCAAAAGUGAAAGACGGUCUUGCUGUCACUUAUAGAUGGAUCCGCGCUGCAUUAGCUAGUUGGUAAGGUAACGGCUUACCAAGGCAACGAUGCAUAGCCGACCUGAGAGAGUGAUAGGCCACACUGGAACUGAGACACGGUCCAGACUACUACGGGAGGCAGCAGUAGGGAAUCUUCCGCAAUAGGCGAAAGCCUGACGGAGCAACGCCGAGUGAGAGAUGAAGGUCUUCGGAUCGUAAAACUCUGUUAUUAGGGAAGAACAUAUGUGUAAGUAACUGUGCACAGAUUGACGGUACCUAAUCAGAAAGCCACGGCUAACUACGUG